CUUUAGCAUCAUUCCUCCCAAAGAACACCCAGGGCUGAUCUCCUUUAGAAUGGAAGUUCCUAUAUCUCCCAACAGAAAAACAAUAUACCAAAAUUUAUUUUCUUUAUGAGUUUCAAUUCAUUUUCUUAAUUCUAUUAUUUAAUUUGAUCUUAAGAGAAAAUAUUUUUAUUACCAUGCCUUAAAUAUCUAUGGUAAAUGAAACAUUUUCAGCUAGCCAGACAUAUGCUGAAAAAUAUGCUUGAGAUAAUAUUUGUAAAUAUCUUCAAGUUUGCUCUUUUCUAGAGAAACUACCAAGAUGAAUACUUGGCUAAAGGGAUUUUUUAUUUCCUGACUAUUCCAGCAUUCUGAAGAUCCAAUUAUAGAGUGUCAAAUUCAGACACAAAUGACAAGGAGAAUAGCCUCAGGAUGGUCCUUUGUGUGAUGACUCAAAGGACAAACCCUUUUUCAGUAAACCAAGGAUCCUCAGUGGGAUUCUCAUUCAACUAACCAACAGGACUUGAUCGUCUUAGGCUUCAUUUAUAGGAGAUCUUCCCAACCCAGAGACUGAACCUGUGUCUCUUGGAUCUCCUGCAUUGUCAAAGCUAUGGUUUUUCCAGUCAUCAU
ensembl:lncRNA